CCUACGGGAGGCAGCAGUGGGGAAUAUUGGGCAAUGGGCGAAAGCCUGACCCAGCGACGCCGCGUGAGGGACGAAGGCCUUCGGGUUGUAAACCUCUUUCAGCAGGGAAGAAGCGAAAGUGACGGUACCUGCAGAAGAAGCACCGGCUAACUACGUGCCAGCAGCCGCGGUAAUACGUAGGGUGCAAGCGUUGUCCGGAAUUAUUGGGCGUAAAGAGCUCGUAGGUGGUUUGCCACGUCGGAUGUGAAAACCUGAGGCUUAACCUCAGGCCUGCAUUCGAUACGGGCAGACUAGAGUGUGGUAGGGGAGACUGGAAUUCCUGGUGUAGCGGUGAAAUGCGCAGAUAUCAGGAGGAACACCGGUGGCGAAGGCGGGUCUCUGGGCCAUAACUGACACUGAGGAGCGAAAGCGUGGGGAGCAAACAGGAUUAGAUACCCUGGUAGUCCACGCCGUAAACGGUGGGCACUAGAUGUGGGGACCUUCCACGGUCUCUGCGUCGCNGCUACGCAUAGUCGCCCGCCGUCGGGUAGGUACGGCCGCGACGGACGUAAACCGUACGAAACGGAAAGUUAAGGUACGGCGUUGAGACGUUGCCGAACGGACGACCGACGAGGGAGGAGG
rnacentral:rRNA from 1 species